rnacentral:rRNA from 2 species
GGGGAAUAUUGCGCAAUGGGGGAAACCCUGACGCAGCAAUACCGCGUGAGUGAAGAAGGUUUUCGGAUCGUAAAGCUCUGUUAUUGGGGAAGAAAAAAAGACGGUAACCGGAGAAGAAGCCCCGGCUAACUUCGUGCCAGCAGCCGCGGUAAUACGAAGGGGGCUAGCGUUGCUCGGAAUCACUGGGCGUAAAGCGCACGUAGGCGGAUCGUUAAGUCAGGGGUGAAAUCCUGGGGCUCAACCUCAGAACUGCCCUUGAUACUGGCGAUCUCGAGUUCGAGAGAGGUUGGUGGAACUCCGAGUGUAGAGGUGAAAUUCGUAGAUAUUCGGAAGAACACCAGUGGCGAAGGCGGCCAACUGGCUCGAUACUGACGCUGAGGUGCGAAAGCGUGGGGAGCAAACA